GCUACUGUGCCAGCUGGUGAAUGGCUCGGCUCGAGAGCCGAC
rnacentral:rRNA from 1 species